GUUAUGGGAGUGGAGACAGGCGGUCUCCCUCUCCAGCGGCAGCCUGUGUUUCAGGGAGAGGAGCACAGCACCCUAUCUCCCCAGCGGCAGCUUACCCUACCAAGCGGAGACACCAAUCUCCCAGAUGGCGCAGAGGGGACCGUGGUCUCUGUGCCCGACCUACAGGGAUGCUGGACAGCCUGUCCAGAUCCCCAACUACCCUCACAGGGACAACAGGAGGAGGGGGUAAGUACAAAUUCCCCUCCCCAGCUAACUCCUAAC